UGAACGCUAGCGACAGGCCUAACACAUGCAAGUCGAGGGGCAGCGCGGGAGAAGCUUGCUUUCCUGGCGGCGACCGGCGCACGGGUGCGUAACAGGUGUGCAAUCUGUCCAUAGUCGGGGGAUAGCCCAGCGAAAGCUGAAUUAAUACUCCAUGUGAAUCGAAGCCGCAUGACUUUGAUUUGAAACGCAAGGACUAUGGGUGAGCACGCUUCUGAUUAGCUAGUUGGUGGGGUAACGGCUCACCAAGGCGACGAUCAGUAGGGGUUCUGAGAGGAAGGUCCCCCACAUUGGAACUGAGACACGGUCCAAACUCCUACGGGAGGCAGCAGUGAGGAAUAUUGGUCAAUGGGCGAGAGCCUGAACCAGCCAAGUCGCCGUGAAGGAUGAAGGUUCUAUGGAUUGUAAACUUCUUUUGUCCGAGGGUAAAAAAGGCUACGUGUAGCUUCUUGCAAGUAUCGGACGAAUAAGCAUCGGCUAACUCCGUGCCAGCCGCCGC
rnacentral:rRNA from 1 species